CUCAGUGGGUAGAGUGAUGCACUUGGAGUUUGGCGUGAGGGAAGUGAGGGGCGGCGGAGGUUCGAACCCCCCUCUCGGAACUUACAAAAACCUUCAAAGAGCUUCCCUCCAUCACCAUGUGUGCCUCAAACACACAGGUACGGUGGUGGAGCUGCCCACGGGGAGGAGGGGAGGUGAGUGCGCAGCACCUCCCUACCCUCCCCAGGGGUGGAAGGCACCGCCUUACCACCCCCGGGAGAGCAAGGGAGGUGAGUGCACAGCGCUUCCCUUCUCUCCCCUACCUAACCCUGGCAAGUCUACGGACUACCAGGCAAAAAAUAAUAAAAAUACAAAAAAAAAAUAAAUAAAUAAAAAAAAAUAAAUAAAUAAAUGAAGGUGAGUGCAUAGCACUUCCCUUCUCUCCACCUACUAGUCAAUAUAAAUAAAUAAGAAGUAAAGGUGAGUGCAUAGCACUUCCCUUCUCUCCCCACCUGUCAGGCGGCAAAAGAAAAAAUAAAUAAAUAGAAAAACAAAGGUGAGUGCAUAGCACUUCCUUCCUCUCUCACAUAAUAGGCAAAAAAAUAAAUAAAAAUAACAAUAAAAUAAUAAAUAAAGUAAAAUAAAAAAGCCUGAAAAAUAAAUAAAAAAAUAAGUAAAAAUAAAAAAAAAAAAAUUAAUGACUAACUCUGACAAGAGCUCUGACCCUGGCACCACCAACCUAACUGACUCUGAAUCUGACUGGCCACUAUCCAAACCACCUCCCCUGGGAAGCAUGGGAAGUGAGUGUGCAGCACCUCCCUACCCUCCCCAGUCUCCUAGUUUGACUUUGACCACCAAACUCAUCCUGGCAACUCAAAGACCCAUCCUACCCUUCUGACUCAUCCUGCCACCUCCAAAGAGCAAUCCUGGCAACUGAUACUGACUAACAAAUGUGACAUCUGGCAAAAGACCACUAAACAGACUGACCCUGGGAAGCAUGGGAGGUGAGUGUGCAGCACCUCCCUACCCUUCCCAGUCUCCCAGUUUGACUUUGACUCAUCCUAGCAACUCCAAAGAGCAACUCCAAAUGUACAGACCACCAGUAUCUACUCUCCCCACCAUGACUGACAACUGAUCCUGGCAAGGUGAGUGCGUAGCACUUCCCUACCUGACUGACCCUGGCAGCACCCCUGCCACCCCAAUCUGGCUCUGACCAUUACUUACAAAUGUGUAAUCUGACAACAGUCCACCAAACUGACUGACGCUGGGGAGCAUGGGAGGUGAGUGUGUAGCACCUCCCUACACUUCCCAGUUUGUAACCACCAACUUGACUCAUCCUAGCAACUCCAAAGAGCAACUCCAAAUGUACAGACCCUGACUACAGACCUGACUGACCCUGAUCCCUAUCCUACCCUGUUCUGGCAAGGUGAGUACGUAGCACUUCCCUACUGACCCUGGCAUUUCCAACAACCAACCUGACUGACUUACAAAUGUGUAAUCUGGCAACACACCACCAAACUGACUGGACCUGGGGAGCAUGGGAGGUGAGUGUGCAGCACAUCCCUACCCUCCCCAGUCUCCUAGUGUGACUCAGACCAUCCUGACAAAUCCUAGCAAAUCCAAAGAGCAACUCCAAAUGUACCGACCUGCAACCUAACUGCCUCUGUACCGACCUUACUCAUCCACCAACACGACUGACCAAGAACAAGAAGGAUCAUUACUGUACCGACCACCAACCUAACUGACUCUGGGGAGUAGGGGAGGUGAGUGUGCAGCAGCACCUUGCCAGUCUCUGAUGAAGAAGAACAAGAAGCACCACCAUCUGAGGAAGAAGCAGCAGCACCCUGACAACUCCAAAGAGCCUGACUCAUCCUGGCAGCUCCAAAGACCACCAACCUGACAGACCACCAAUCUCACUGAUUCUGACUCCUGACUCUGACUCCUACACUCUCAGCCUGACUGACCCUGGCAACUGAUCUGGCAACCUAACUGACUCUGGCAACAGACAACCGAACUGACUGACUAAGGGGAGGUGAGUGUGCAGCACCUGCUUACCAACCACUUCCCUACGACCAACCUGACGGACUCUGGCAACUCCAAAACAAUUAACCUGAUAACUUCAGAGUGACUCUGGGGAGGAGGGGAGGUGAGUGUGCAGCACCUCCCUACCCCAAUCUGAUUCUGACCACCAGCUUGACUGUGGCUAAUAACUCUGGCAACAGACCACCAAACUGACUGACCCUGGGGAGCAUGGGGGGUGAGUGUGCAGCAUCUCCCUACUCUUCCCAGACUCCCAGUUUGACUCUUAGCACCAAGAUGACUCACUCAUUGAUUCGGGGGAGGUGAGUGCAAUACCUCCUACUAUCCCCAAUCUAACACAGACUACAGACCACCAACAUGACGAACCAACCUCACUGCUUCGGGGGAGCAGGGCAGGUGAGUGUGCAGUACCUCCUACUCUUCCCACUGAGGAAAGGGUCUUACCACGACCUGACUGACUCUGACUGGCUCUGGGAAGCAUGGGAGAUGAGUGUGCAGCACCUCUCCCCACUGAUUCUGACUGCCAGUCUACCACCAGCCUGACUUCAAAAGACUCCAAAGACCACCAACCUGACUGAUUCAGGGGAGCAGGGGAGGUAAUAAGUGUGCAGUACCUCUCCCCACUCUGAUUCUGAUUGCCAAUCUGACUGACCCUGGCAGGACUUCCCUACCACGAACUUGACUGACUGGCAAUAGACCACCAAACUGACCACCAAACAAGCUGACUUAGGGGAGGUGAGUGUGCAGCACCUCCCUACCUGUCUUGACCUAUUGUGUGGGUUUCCUCUACCUACAGUACGCUAAGCACUUUGCAUUUAUUGAUAUUAAAUUGCAUUUGCCAUCUAUCCGUCCAUUCAUUCAUUCUAUCUAAAUCUGCCUGCAAGGCGAUGGCAUCCGAUUCUGACCUAAUUAAUCUACCUAUCUUU